rnacentral:rRNA from 1 species
GACGAACGCUGGCGGCGUGCUUAACACAUGCAAGUCGAACGAAGACGCCCGAGUUUGCUGGGGUUGUUUAGUGGCGAACGGGUGAGUAACACGUGAGUAACCUGCCCUUCACUUUGGGAUAACCUCAGGAAACUGGGGCUAAUACCGGAUAUGAGCUCCUGCCGCAUGGUGGGGGUUGGAAAGUUUUGUCGGUUGGGGAUGGGCCCGGGGCCUAUCGUUUUGUUGGUGGGGUGGUGGAUAACAAGGGCGUUGCCGGGUAGCCGGCCUGGGAGGGUGACCGGCCACACUGGGACUGAGACACGGCACAGCCUCCUACGGGAGGCAGCAGUGGGGAAUAUUGCACAAUGGGCGGAAGCCUGAUGCAGCGACGCCGCGUGAGGGAUGACGGCCUUCGGGUUGUAAACCUCUUUCCGCAGGGAAGAAGCGAAAGUGACGGUACCUGGAGAAGAAGCGCCGGCUAACUACGUG